UUUCCGUAGGUGAACCUGCGGAAGGAUCAUUACAGAGUUCAUGCCCUUCGGGGUAGAUCUCCACCCGUGUUUAUUUAUACCUUUGUUGCUUUGGCAGGCCGUCAGGCUUCGGCUUGACUAUCGGCUCCGGCUGGUAAGCGCCUGCCAGAGGACCCCAACUCUUUUGUUUAAAUGUCGUCUGAGUACUAUAUAAUAAGUUAAAACUUUCAACAACGGAUCUCUUGGUUCUGGCAUCGAUGAAGAACGCAGC
rnacentral:misc_RNA from 1 species